rnacentral:rRNA from 1 species
GCCAGCAACCAUAACACCCUGCAAAUCACAACUGGUAACCCACUGAAGCUCAGCAGGUGUGAGUCUGGCCAGUACCUGGAUGGGAGACCUCCUGGGAAAAACUAAGGUUGCUACUG